ACAUUGCUGGUGUAGUGGUAUCAUAUAAGAUUCUCAAUCAUGUGAUCUGGGUUCAAUUCCCAGGUGGCGUA